rnacentral:snoRNA from 1 species
AUCCCAUGUUGAGGACACUUACGAAGUAACUCCUUGAAUCGCUCCCAAGCCUCAUACAAAGACUUGUCAUCCAAUUGUUGGAAU